rnacentral:rRNA from 1 species
UACGAAGGGGGCUAGCGUUGCUCGGAUUGACUGGGCGUAAAGGGCGCGUAGGCGGUUCGUACAGUCAGACGUGAAAUUCCUGGGCUCAACCUGGGGGCUGCGUUUGAUACGUACGGACUUGAGUGCGGAAGAGGGUCGUGGAAUUCCCAGUGUAGAGGUGAAAUUCGUAGAUAUUGGGAAGAACACCGGUGGCGAAGGCGGCGACCUGGUCCGAUACUGACGCUGAGGCGCGAAAGCGUGGGGAGCGAACAGG